UAAGAUUAAUAACAGUCAUAGCAGAAGUGCUCACGUUGUGGCCCUGUCAGAUUCUAAUGACUGCGAAUUCUGCU
rnacentral:lncRNA from 1 species